AUUGAACGCUGGCGGCAUGCUUUACACAUGCAAGUCGAACGGCAGCGCGGGCUUCGGCCUGGCGGCGAGUGGCGAACGGGUGAGUAAUACAUCGGAACGUGCCCAGUAGUGGGGGAUAGCUCGGCGAAAGCCGGAUUAAUACCGCAUACGACCUGAGGGUGAAAGCGGGGGAUCUUCGGACCUCGCGCUAUUGGAGCGGCCGAUGGCAGAUUAGCUAGUUGGUGGGGUAAAGGCCUACCAAGGCGACGAUCUGUAGCUGGUCUGAGAGGAUGACCAGCCACACUGGGACUGAGACACGGCCCAGACUCCUACGGGAGGCAGCAGUGGGGAAUUUUGGACAAUGGGCGAAAGCCUGAUUCAGCAAUGCCGCGUGUGUGAUGAAGGCCUUCGGGUUGUAAAGCACUUUUGGCGGGAACGAAAAGGACUGUGCCAAUACCACGGUUCGAUGACGGUACCCGCAGAAUAAGCACCGGCUAACUACGUG
rnacentral:rRNA from 1 species